GAUGAACGCUGGCGGCGUGCCUAAUACAUGCAAGUCGAGCGAACAGAUAAGGAGCUUGCUCCUUUGACGUUAGCGGCGGACGGGUGAGUAACACGUGGGUAACCUACCUAUAAGACUGGGAUAACUUCGGGAAACCGGAGCUAAUACCGGAUAACAUUUGGAACCGCAUGGUUCUAAAGUGAAAGAUGGUUUUGCUAUCACUUAUAGAUGGACCCGCGCCGUAUUAGCUAGUUGGUAAGGUAACGGCUUACCAAGGCGACGAUACGUAGCCGACCUGAGAGGGUGGUCGGCGCCACUGGAAGUGAGACGCGGUCCAGGCUCCUACGGGAGGCACCAGUAGGGAAUGGGCGGCAAUGGGCGAAAGCCUGACGGAGCGGCGCCACGUGGGUGAUGAAGGGGUUCGGCGCGUAAAACUGUGUUAUUGGUGAAGAACAAAUGUGUAAGUAACUGUGCACGUCUUGACGGUACCUAAUCAGAAAGCCCCGGCUAACUACGUG
rnacentral:rRNA from 1 species